rnacentral:rRNA from 1 species
GACGAACGCUGGCGGCGUGCUUAACACAUGCAAGUCGAACGGAAAGGCCCUGCUUUUGUGGGGUUCUCGAGUGGCGAACGGGUGAGUAACACGUGAGUAACCUGCCCUUGACUGUGGGGUAACUUCAGGAAACUGGGGCUAAUACCGGAGAGGAGCUCCUGCUCCAUGGGGGUGGUUGGAAAGUUUCGGCGGUUGGGGAUGGACUCGCGGCUUAUCAGCUUGUUGGUGGGGUAGUGGCUUACCAAGGCUUUGACGGGUAGCCGGCCUGAGAGGGUGACCGGCGUCAUUGGGACUGAGAUACGGCGCAGUCUCCUACGGGAGGCAGCAGUGGGGAAUAUUGCACAAUGGGGGGACGCCUGAUGCAGCAACGCCGCGUGCGGGAUGACGGGCUUCGGGUUGUAAACCGAUUUCGCAUGUGACGAAGCGUGAGUGACGGUAAUGGGUCAAGAAGCCCCGGCUAACUACGUG